UAUACAGCGAAACUGCGAAUGGCUCAUUAUAUAAGUUAUCGUUUAUUUGAUAGUACCUUACUACUUGGAUAACCGUGGUAAUUCUAGAGCUAAUACAUGCUGAAAAUCCCGACUUCGGAAGGGAUGUAUUUAUUAGAUUAAAAACCAAUGCCCUCUGGGCUCUCUGGUGAUUCAUAAUAACUUCUCGAAUCGCAUGGCCUUGCGCCGGCGAUGGUUCAUUCAAAUUUCUUCCCUAUCAACUUUCGAUGUUUGGGUAGUGGCCAAACAUGGUUGCAACGGGUAACGGAGGGUUAGGGCUCGACCCCGGAGAAGGAGCCUGAGAAACGGCUACUACAUCCAAGGAAGGCAGCAGGCGCGCAAAUUACCCAAUCCCGAUUCGGGGAGGUAGUGACAAUAAAUACUGAUACAGGGCUCUUUUGGGUCUUGUAAUUGGAAUGAGUACAAUUUAAAUCCCUUAACGAGGAACAAUUGGAGGGCAAGUCUGGUGCCAGCAGCCGCGGUAAUUCCAGCUCCAAUAGCGUAUAUUAAAGUUGUUGUGGUUAAAAAGCUCGUAGUUGAACCUUGGGCCUGGCUGGCCGGUCCGCCUCACCGCGUGUACUGGUCCGGCCGGGUCUUUCCCUCUGUGGAACCCCAUGCCCUUCACUGGGUGUGGCGGGGAAACAGGACUUUUACUUUGAAAAAAUUAGAGUGCUCCAGGCAGGCCUAUGCUCGAAUACAUUAGCAUGGAAUAAUGAAAUAGGACGUGCGGUUCUAUUUUGUUGGUUUCUAGGACCGCCGUAAUGAUUAAUAGGGACAGUCGGGGGCAUCAGUAUUCAAUUGUCAGAGGUGAAAUUCUUGGAUUUAUUGAAGACUAACUACUGCGAAAGCAUUUGCCAAGGAUGUUUUCAUUAAUCAGGAACGAAAGUUAGGGGAUCGAAGACGAUCAGAUACCGUCGUAGUCUUAACCAUAAACUAUGCCGACUAGGGAUCGGACGAUGUUAUUUUUGACUCGUUCGGCACCUUACGAGAAAUCAAAGUGC
rnacentral:rRNA from 1 species